UUUUCUGGGGUGUUUAGAAACCGUCUGAAGGGGCGUUUUCUGGGGUGUUUAGAAACCGUCUGAAGGGGCGUUUACUGGGGUGUUUAGAAGCCGUCUGAAGGGGCGUUUUCUGGGGUGUUUAGAAACCGUCUGAAGGGGUGUUUACUGGGCCAUUUACUGGGCGUUGGGCGUUUAGUUCUCUCUGAAUCCAGGGCUCCCUAUUUGUAUCUGACAUGAUGAAUCCUUUUGUUAGUUUAUUUUUAUGUAUGAAGUCCUGUACAUUUUGAUACAAGUGUUAUUUCAUGUGACCUUUUUAUGCAUUGCAAACUUGAAGAUGCUUUUGUGGUGGAUAGGUGGACUUUAUAUGGAUGACUGUGUUGCACUGGAAUGGGGGUUUGAUGAUAAUCAAUUGGCCUUUUGGCUGUAUUUUUUUUUUUUUUCUUUAUUUGUUUUCACUAUAGAGUUCACCGUAGAUAUGCCAAGUCUAUUUUACAGUCUUGCAGCGGGCAUGCAGUGCACUGCUCCAGCAACGCCCCUUCCUCUAACAAGCGCUACUUCCUGACUUCUAUGGUAGUUCAGCAGGGUCCCCUUCCUCUAACAUACGGAUGUGAAGCCUGGAACUGUCUGACCCUGGAGAAGGGGAAGAGAUGUAUGAAGCAGACCUGUUCUGUGACUGUUUGUGAAACAUGUUUACAUUUGUGUUUUUGUGUGUGUGGAGGGAGUCAAUCUCCCUUAAACAGACUAAGAGAAGCAGUGUUUUUGUACUUGUACUUGACGGCGCCACCACUCUGUUUGAUCCGGUGUCAGGAGAGACUGGUGCAUCCCAACGCUACUCUCCUUUUGGAAAUAUUGUUUUUGUUUGUUUGUUUACUACUGGCUCUCCAAGGCCACUGUAAACUUCUCGGCUUCUAGAGGUGUCUUUCUUACGUUGGCAUGCCUCACGGCAUUGUUCUUACGUUACGUUGGCAUGCCUCACGGCAUUGUUCUUACGUUACGUUGGCAUGCCUCACGGCAUUGUUCUUACGUUGGCAUGCCUCACGGCAUUGUUCUUACGUUGGCAUGCCUCACGGCAUUGUUCUUACGUUGGCAUGCCUCACGGCAUUGUUCUCUUUUCAGGAUGUUCUAAAUUGCAUGCAGCAUGAUCAUAUGGGCACACACACACAGCCAUACACACCUGUGCACACACACACAGCCAUACACACCUGUACACACACACACACACACAGCCAUACACAC